GAAUAUUGGACAAUGGGCGCAAGCCUGAUCCAGCAAUGCCGCGUGGGUGAAGAAGGUCUUCGGAUUGUAAAGCCCUUUCGGCGGGGACGAUGAUGACGGUACCCGCAGAAGAAGCCCCGGCUAACUUCGUGCCAGCAGCCGCGGUAAUACGAAGGGGGCUAGCGUUGCUCGGAAUUACUGGGCGUAAAGGGCGCGUAGGCGGCGCUGCAAGUCAGGCGUGAAAUUCCUGGGCUUAACCUGGGGGCUGCGCUUGAGACUGUGGUGCUAGAGGACGGAAGAGGGUCGUGGAAUUCCCAGUGUAGAGGUGAAAUUCGUAGAUAUUGGGAAGAACACCGGUGGCGAAGGCGGCGACCUGGUCCGUUACUGACGCUGAGGCGCGACAGCGUGGGGAGCAAACAG
rnacentral:rRNA from 1 species